rnacentral:tRNA from 1 species
GGGGUUGUGGCUCAGUAGUAGAGUGCUUGCCUUGCAUGUGAGAGGCACUGGGUUUGAUUCUCAGCGCCG